UUUCUGUCUUGCUUGUGCCUUGGUUAGGUGAUAGUUGGUUUCCCUAUCUGAGUCCGGCUGUGACGACGGUUAAUCGUAUAAAACGGAAGGCGUCCAUGAAACUACGUCGGUCUAAAUACGAAGAUCACGUUGUUAUGGGCCCUUUAGAAAGGGAUUGGCAGGGUUACUCGGUUGCAUUUGCUGAGUCGCUUAAAGCUUCCUAUGUAGAUAGGUCUUACUAUGGGGCCCCUGAGUUCCUCUGUCAGUACUGUGGUGCCUCCUUCUG